rnacentral:antisense_RNA from 1 species
GAAAAUGAUAAACCUCAGCUGUUUAAGAGAAGAACGUCUGAGUAGCUGUUGAUUACCUCCCAUAAUCACAAAAGAACUUUUUUUUUUAAAAAAAGAAUUUGCACUUUUCGUCUGUUAAAACGCGGUCAUUCUUUUGCUUUCAAAUCGAACUUCACGACAGUUAGCAACUUCAAGAACGCUUCCAAAUGGAUAAAUCUUUCCAGAAGAUUUCUUGCUUCAAAACAGCUGCAUUUUUGGAAGAAAGUCCACAACUGACAACUAAGCAAAACCUUCCUGGUGGAUAGCAUAAAUCUGCUUUGUUGAAGCUGCUCAUUUGUCUGAUCUAUGAGUCCAGAAGAUGCAAACUCCCUUCCCAGCUUAUGCAAAAAUACUUCCAGUAAAAACAAGCCCUUUGGCCCUUU